GACGUAGGGCGCGAGCGUUGUCCGGAUUUAUUGGGCGUAAAGAGCUCGUAGGCGGCUUGUCGCGUCGACUGUGAAAACCCGUGGCUCAACCAUGUGGUCUGCAGUCGAUACGGGCAGGCUAGAAUUCGGUAGGGGAGACUGGAAUUCCUGGUGUAGCAGUGAAAUGCGUAGAUAUCGAGAGGAACACCAGUGGCGAAGGCGAGUCUCUGGACGACUCCUGACACUGAGGCACGAAAGCUGGGGGAGCAAACAGG
rnacentral:rRNA from 1 species